AACUAGCCCCGAUGGAAGUGGCAUCUCCCGAUUUAGAAAAACAAGGCUUUUUUGCCGUAGUUUUUGUUAAUCGGGAAUAUAACGUACAGCGGGACAACUG
rnacentral:sRNA from 1 species